UGGCCCCUUUUUUGCUCACCCUGGACCAACACAUGUCCUUGGUGGAUAACACAGGGGGGCAUAUUAACCUCUGUCAUAAACCUGUAGUGAAGGAACAAUUCCUCACUGCGGAUCCUGUCGGGAGAGACAUCC